rnacentral:lncRNA from 1 species
CCCAAUAUUUCCACCUCCACUUGAAGACCCAACAAUCCCUAAUCUUCCUCCGGUUACUCAAAACCCUGUCCCACCAGUUCCUACAAUUCCUCUACUUCCAAAUCUGCCACCGUUGCCUCAACUCCCUCCUCUGCCAAAUCUGCCACCACUGCCACCACUACCACCACUUACACCGUGGCCUGGCAAAACCACCACCACUACUUCUUUGAAAAAUAACCAAGAAUUAGAUCAAACAGAAGCCAAACCUAAUUUUUUCUUUCCACCACCAAUUUUUCCACCAUUAUUUCAGCCACCGCCAUUGUUCCCUCCAUUGCUUCCUCCAAACCCACUUCAGCCUGCUCCAUCACCAUUGAUUCCUCUACCACCAAUUCCAGGCUUAACUCCAUCACCGCCACCACCAGUCUUUCCAUUUCCAUUUCCAUUUCCUUUCCCCCCUUCACCACCUCCAAGAAUCCCAGGAAUCCCUCCUGCUGCUUCUUCUUCUUCUUCUUCUUCUUCAAAGAAAACAUCUCCUUGACUUAUAAACAGUAUCCCGUAA